rnacentral:rRNA from 1 species
UAAUGAUGGGUAGGGGAGCUUCCCAUACAGGUUGAAGCAUGACCGUAAGGACAUGUGGACAGUAUGGGAGUGAGAAUGUUGGCAUGAGUAGCGAGAUGUGGGUGAGAAUCCCACAGGCCGUAAACCCAAGGUUUCCAGGGGAAGGUUCGUCCGCCCUGGGUUAGUCGGGACCUAAGCUGAGGCCGAAAGGCGUAGGUGAUGGACAACAGGUUGAUAUUCCUGUACUACCGAUAACCGUUUGAGAGAAGGGAUGACACAGUAGGAUAAGUUAAGCACACUGUUGGUUAUGUGUGCCCAAGCAUUGAGGCAGUCAAAGCAGGCAAAUCCGCUUUGAUAAUGCUGGGAUGUGAUGGGGAGCGAAAUUUAGUAGCGAAGUAGCUGAUUUCACACUGUCAAGAAAAGUCUCUAUCGAGGUUAAAGGUACCCGUACCGCAAACCGACACAGGUGGGUGAGGAGAGUAUCCUAAGGCCAGCGAGAGAACUGUUGUUAAGGAACUCGGCAAAAUGACCCCGUAACUUAGGGAUAAGGGGUGCCACCAUCAGGUGGCCGCAGAGAAUAGGCCCAAGCGACUGUUUACCAAAAACAUAGGUUUCUGCUAAGUCGCAAGACGAUGUAUAGGAGCUGACGCCUGCCCGGUGCUGGAAGGUUAAGGGGAUCUGUUAGAGCAAUCGAAGCAGUGAACUUAAGCCCCAGUAAACGGCGGCCGUAACUAUAACGGUCCUAAGGUAGCGAAAUUCCUUGUCGGGUAAGUUCCGACCCGCACGAAAGGCGUAACGAUUUGGGCACUGUCUCAACAACAGACUCGGUGAAAUUGUAAUUCCGGUGAAGAUGCCGGAUACCUGCGACAGGACGGAAAGACCCCAUGGAGCUUUACUGUAGCUUGACAUUGGGUCUUGGUACUACAUGUACAGGAUAGGUGGGAGGCUUUGAAACCAGGACGCCAGUUUUGGCGGAGCCAUCCUUGGGAUACCACCCUUGUAGUACUGGGACUCUAACCAUAGGCCAUGAAUCUGGUCUUGGGACACUGUCAGGUGGGCAGUUUGACUGGGGCGGUCGCCUCCCAAAAGGUAACGGAGGCGCUCAAAGGUUCUCUCAGUACGGUCGGAAAUCGUACGUAGAGUGUAAAGGCAAAAGAGAGCUUGAUUGCAAGACAUACAGGUCGAGCAAGGAUGAAAAUCGGACUUAGUGAUCCGGUGGUUCUGCGUGGAAGGGCCAUCGCUCAACGGAUAAAAGCUACCCUGGGGAUAACAGGCUUAUCUCCCCCAAGAGUCCACAUCGACGGGGAGGUUUGGCACCUCGAUGUCGGCUCAUCACAUCCUGGGGCUGUAGUAGGUCCCAAGGGUUGGGCUGUUCGCCCAUUAAAGUGGUACGCGAGCUGGGUUCAGAACGUCGUGAGACAGUUCGGUCCCUAUCCGUCGCAGGCGUAGGAAAUUUGAGAAGACCUGUCCUUAGUACGAGAGGACCGGGAUGGACG